rnacentral:sRNA from 1 species
GUAUUUCCAAACAUAGCAUUACAAAUCAACAUUUUUUCAUAAUUCUUUUGGCUUCUGCUCCAUUAACAUCUAUACAUGUUUGUGUAAGUUUUUAUGACUGUCUGCAAGCAUGCUCUAGUCUUUUGUGUGGUUAAGCAUUUGUGAUAUCGUCUGUGUGAACUUUAGGCCUCUGACAAUCGAGAGCGCCAUGCAACCCAAUCAAUACUCACAACAUUCGUGUGCAAAUAUGCAGUUCCUAUAUUUGUGAAGAAUUUCCAUCUAGCCAAUAGCCGUGAUGUGCUCUUCUUGCUACCCUAGCUGCAC